CUUUGCUUCUUGGAACAAUUUAUUUUGAAUACUUGCCCAAUGAGUUAAAAUGCUAAAUAUUUUUUCUUCCUAGGUGACAUCCUAGUCUCCUAUGGUGGGAAGAAGGAAAGAACUUAAUCUUCCCAUUUAUCAGGGAAAAAAAGGAUUAUCUCACACAGAGCGUUGGAAUUACUUCGUGAUGAUUUCAAAGAAAAUUUUCUUCUCUAAACACUCUUAUCCCAAGGGCAUCCUAAAGUUCCUCUGGAAUGCAUUGGGUGGGAGAGAAAGUUCUAUGUCAACUCUUCUGGCAGAGGGAAAAGCUGACCGAGGAAGUCAAAAUGAAAGAAAGAAGCAGCCAGGACUGAGGCUCCCUGAGGUACGUAGCACUUUCUUCCACAGCCACGGAAAUACGCCUUUUACUUUUUCCUGAUUUAGGAUUGUCUAACACUUGGAAGUCUUCCCUUCUCCCUCUUACAAUAAGUGAAAGGUCUGAGAACUGUUGUUGGCCAAGGUUUCCUGAUUUUUGGUUGCAUUUGCAUUCCUAAAAUACCUACUUUUCUCUUUAUUUAUUUUUCUGUCUUGCCUACCUAGAGACAGAAACACCCUCCCUGACAUCAAGAUUUCCA
ensembl:lincRNA